rnacentral:pre_miRNA from 1 species
AACCCGUAGAUCCGAACUUGUGUUUUACAUAUCCCACAAGCUCAUGUCUAUAGGUCUG